GACGAACGCUGGCGGCGUGCUUAACACAUGCAAGUCGAACGGAAAGGCCCUGCUUUUGUGGGGUGCUCGAGUGGCGAACGGGUGAGUAACACGUGAGUAACCUGCCCUUGACUUUGGGAUAACUUCAGGAAACUGGGGCUAAUACCGGAUAGGAGCUCCUGCUGCAUGGUGGGGGUUGGAAAGUUUCGGCGGUUGGGGAUGGACUCGCGGCUUAUCAGCUUGUUGGUGGGGUAGUGGCUUACCAAGGCUUUGACGGGUAGCCGGCCUGAGAGGGUGACCGGGCACAUUGGGACUGAGAUACGGCCCAGACUCCUACGGGAGGCAGGAGUGGGGAAUAUUGCACAAUGGGCGGAAGCUGGAUGCAGCAACGCCGCGUGCGGGAUGACGGCCUUCGGGUUGUAAACCGAUUUCGCCUGUGACGAAGCGUGAGUGACGGUAAUGGGUAAAGAAGCACCGGCUAACUACGU
rnacentral:rRNA from 1 species